rnacentral:rRNA from 1 species
UACGGAGGGGGCUAGCGUUGUUCGGAAUUACUGGGCGUAAAGCGCGCGUAGGCGGCUUUGUAAGUUAGAGGUGAAAGCCCGGAGCUCAACUCCGGAAUUGCCUUUAAGACUGCAUCGCUAGAAUUGUGGAGAGGUAAGUGGAACUCCUAGUGUAGAGGUGGAAUUCGUAGAUAUUAGGAAGAACACCAGUGGCGAAGGCGGCUCACUGGCUCAUUUCUGACGCUCAGGCGCGACAGCGUGGGGAUCAAACAGG